CAAUCGUCCUGUUCCCCUCAUUGGUCUCUCCGGUCUCCUGAUUCCAGCCACAUUUUGGUGAGCCAGCCAGGAGUGAAGACGACAGGUUUGCUGUCUCCUUUGCCUGUGGGUCUGGGGCCCCAGCCUGGGGGAGACCCGUGACUCCAGGCAUGCUAUCAGGACAACUUCAACCCGAGGGGAGAUCAGCUCUCCCGCAACCUGGUGCCGCUCUCUGACAGCACAACAGAACCUAAGGGGCUACAGGAUGAUUCAAGGAACAGUGUGCUACAGGACCUCGGUAUUCCUGCUGAGAGUCAUUUCCUGUGCUGGAUUUACCAUCACAGGGACCAGAUUUAUAGAAAAAUGAACAUGUAUUGUUGCUAAAUGGAGUUGGUCAUGGAGUGGAAACUAACAAUAUGUUCACCUCAAGAAGACCCUCACCAGAUGCAGCCCCUCUAUGUUGGACUUCCCAGCCUCCGGAAGU
rnacentral:lncRNA from 1 species